rnacentral:lncRNA from 1 species
GCAAUCGCUGAGGUUGACUUUGACCAAUCCCUUCUCAGAACUCUCGAUCAGAGGAAGGAUCCCGUUAUCAGUGACACCAAAAAGGCCGCUCAGUUCAAUAUGCUCCAACUGCGGACAAAUCAUGCCAACCAUAGCCAGGCUAGCAUCUGUGAAGCCUGGACAGUCACGAAUGGUCAGGGAUCGAAGCGAUGAGCAUGAUGGAAGUUGUCCAGGCCAAGCAGUGAUGAUGUCCUUGAUCCCCAAGCAUUUCACCAAGGCAAUUGUCUUCAUCUUUUGGCUGCAGUUGAGAAGGCUGCCAAGAACACCAGCA